ensembl:lncRNA
AGCCUCCCGGCCGCCUGCGUGGGAGUCGCCUCCUCCUCGGGGCAGAGGCCCAGGCUCGCCACUCACUUGGGCAUCACCGACCGCACAACUUGAUUCCUCCAGACGCCGCUGCCGCCGGGGCCCAGAGUCUGCGCCGCGAGAGCCGCCGCCCUGCUGAGGCGCGGCCCGGCCCGGAACUGCCCUUCCCCCCGCGAGCACCGCGCGAGCGCCGCCGCGCUUCCCGCUCCUCCGCCUUCUCCUCACUCCGCCGCGGGAGACCGAGGCCUUCCGGCCCGCCCGUCGGGUCCACGAGCACCGGGCUCACCGACCCAGGCCACCGGAGAGUCAGCGCGGCUCAGGCGCCUCGUCAGGUCAUUGAUCCUCGCGGGAACUUGGUGCGCCGCCUGCGGAGACAGAGAGAGGAAGAAGAGAGUUACUAGUGGAGCACCAGAGGGGAGCGGAGGCCGAGGUGGCCCGCUUUUCGGCUAAGUCCAGGAGGUUACCUCCAGCCGCCGCCCUGAGCGCGGGCUCCCUCUGGCCUCCACCGCCUCCUCCCAGCUCUGCCGCUGCCGCCGCCGCCGCCGCCGGAAAAGGCGCCGAAGAAACCGCCUCACUUCCCCUCCCGAUCACGCAGGCGCAACAAGGCCGACCGUUUGACUAGUGCGACCUCUGUAAGGAGAGCGGCCCGCGCGCCAAACGUCAGGGGCGCCGCGCGCGGAGAGGGCGGGGCUACGGCGGCUCGGAGGCCUGGCGGGUGCGGUCGGGCCCAAGACCCGCGAAACUCGGACGCUGACCCGCGCCCACCUGUCGCCACAAUGGCGGCCCCUGUACUUUCGGCGUUUCUUUUUUGCGCCCUCUCCUCCUCCACCCCGCUCGAAGCAGAGGAGGAAAUCCACUGGGAAGCUCUACAGGGUGGGGCCCGCGGGCAGCCCGCUCCCACGGUGAAGGCCUCCCCAUGCUGCUUCCAGACCUAUUCUCAGACGUCGGUGCCCGCCAGGUGCUCCGCGAAUUCCUUCCAUCCCGCCCCAGGCUUCGCGCGUCCUCAGUCUCCUAGGUGUUGUCCUAAAACUGAGAGAAGGAUUUUGAAGUGAGAAGAUUAGAGUUCAAAGUGUUGCCUUGUGUUUUAUAGCUGUGAAUCUUCAACUUUCAUAAACUUCAUUUUAUCAUAAAAAUCAGAUGAAGGAUGAUGUCGCUAACAAAAGCAGUCACCAUUUAUUGUUAGUUAUGGCAAACACUGUACUAAGUACUGUACUUUAAAUAUAUAUUUUUUAAUCCGCAUAGCAACCAUGUGAAGUUACUUUGAGUAUUAGUAUUUUACAUAUGAGGAAACUUAGGGACAAAGAGGGUAAGUUGUUUAAAGGUCGUAGCUGAGAUUAAAUCAUGCAUCUACAGGACCCUCUCCUAACCCCCAAAUUAUGCUAUCUCCCUGACUACCUCACACAGUUCCUUAGAAUCUCAACUACAGUAUUUUUUAAAUACUUUAUAAAAUGCUAUGGUACUAUUGUUAUAUUUUAGUAUAUCUUGUUACAUAUAUAUAGUUAUAUAUUCAUGUUUAUAUGUGGCAGAUAGAGGGAUUAUAUUUUGUUGCAUUCCAACAUAAUAAUUUUUAAUAGCAGGUUCCAGUUUUUCCAAGUAGAUGGGAGAUUGAUUUGCUGGGCUUGGGUAUAUUUUUCAAUGGAAGGAGUGAUGUAAUGAAAAACAGAAGCAGCUUGAAGCCUUAGCAUCUACCUGGCACUGGCACUGUGUCAGGGCUAAAAGCUUUGUUUUUGAAAGCCAUCUCCCAUUUAUAUUCCACCAGAAUGCAAGCUUCAUUGAGGCAGAGACCUUAUUUUGUCAACGUAAUAUCCCCAGUGACAUUAUUUGAAUGAAUGAAUGUCAUUUAUACCACAAAUAAGACCAAACAAAGAAGGAAAGAGACAUAUUAUUUUUGUCUGGGGUUACGGUAUUGGAUAUUUAGAGUGGGUCAUCAUAUAAUAAAUUAUUUUAAGUAAUAAUUGUAAACAACAUAAUGGCCAGAAAAUAAAUACAGUGAAAAUUUUAACUUUGUAUAUAUAAUCAUGGCAGUUGAAAAGGAAAGUAAGUACAUUUCAGUAAAACCAAAAUAUCUGUAAAAAGUAAUAAUUUAGGCAACUACUAUAUCACACCACUGAUGAAACAUUUUCUUGAUUUCUUCUUGAAACAGCAAUUCAAGAAUAGUAAAUUUAAAAAAAUAUUAUUUCCAUUCUGUGAAGUAUUUUUUGGAUAAACUAAAGUAUGCGUUUAUGAAACAAAGUAUUACAUUUCUCAGUGUGUACCUUGUUUCACUGUUUUAAGUCUUGAACACAAAUGAAUGCUUCAAAACUACAGAAAAAUUGAUCUCUGCUUUUUAACUCAGCCUAUAAUAAUGAAAAGAUUUCUCCAGGUUACUUAGAAACAAGGCUCUCCUUUAGAAAAACACCAUAAUUUCUAAUCUGUUGAACAACCACAUAUAUUGUCUCAUGAUAUUCUUGACUAACACCAUGUUAUAAGAAAAAGAUUUACUUAUAAAAAUGGCUUAGGUUUUUGGUUUUCAAACAAGAUGAACAAAUCUUUAACAAUAGCGCCCCAUGCUAUUUACCCCUAUUUCUGGAUUCAUAAAGCUCUUAAUCAUUGUGUAUUACUGUGUCCUAUAUUUCUUUUUAUCUGGUGCAGUGCUAAGGACAAUUCUGACCACACUGUGAGGGUGGUCUGUUUGAGGAAGAUAGCAUCCCUUAUUUAUGGCUUCAUUUUGAGCCCUUAAUCUAGACUUACCCAGCAUUGGGCUCUAUCUAGUUUCAAGAAGACUAGAGCCCCCAGGAAUACUAAUAGCAGUAGAAAUAAAGUAAAUAAGAAACUAUUAUAAAGUGUAUCUUUAAAAUUUUUUUCUAGUUCUUUCAACCAAAACAUUGAGGCAGGAGAAUUAGCCCUCCCUUGGUAUUAUACCUGUCUGUUUAUGAGUUCUCUAAGAGAGGUUUCAUGUCCUUUUCAUUUUUGAACCCUUAGUCCCUACCAUAGUAUUGGCUAUGUAGUAAAAUAAAGUCUCCAUUAUUUCUUGAUGAUAACACAGUGAAGAUCAAGACUCUCAAAAAUAAAACUAAAAAAUCCAAUUAAGACAAUGAAAACAAAUAAUUUUAAUUUGUAAGUAUUCUUGGUAACUUUAAUGGAUGCAAAUAUUUAAAAAUAUUUGAAGAGACACUGGGAACUAAAAUAAUAGUUCACUCCUUUGUCCUCUUUCUGUAUUUGCUAAGGAAUCACUUUCUAGUUCUUCCUCUUUAGCCAUAAAAAAAAAAAAGUUAUAUUCUAAUCAAAACCUUAAUUAUUACUUGACUUAUGCCAGAGUGUAAAAACUUCAUCUCAUUUUUAGCAAUAUUAAAGGUGAAAAUGAUAAAGCUAGAAACACAUUGAAUUAUAGUUGAUAUUUUAGCAAAUUGUUUAAUAGUCAGGGCUUCCAACCACAAAAAGAAACUGUUCUAGUGGCACAAGUGAAUAGAAAGGCUGAAUGACAUCCUUAAAGUCCUCCCAGUACUCCAUGAUUAGAUUUAACCUGGGUAAGUUAUUCAUCCUCACUGAUCAUCAUUUUUUUGUUUCUGCAGUGAAGAAAUCUAACUGAUUAGGGCAGUAUAUAUUAUUCCUCUUUAGAGUUGAAAGAGCUGAGCCACUGAGAAGGGUAAGCUACUUUCUUAAGAUGGAUAAAAUGGUACAAAAGAGAUUCAAAUUAAGAUUUUUAAAAAUAAGUCUGGUAUUCUUUUUUCUUUUGUGCCAAAUAAUUGUGUGAACUCAGCUGGACUAGAUUUAUAGUUUUCAACCCUGGCUGCAUAUUAAAAUCACCAGGGGCAUUUUAAAACCACAUAAAUGCUUGGGUCCCACCCCAGAUCAAUGAAGUCAAAAUGUCUAUGCUAGAAGUACCACCCACCAGUAUUUUUUUAAAGGCCUCCUUGAGUGAUUCUAAUGUGUUGCCAAAAUUGAGAACCACCACACUAAUUGCUAAUUUCCCUCACAUCAAAAAGUUUAUGAAUCCUGAACUCUACUUGUUAUUCCUCUUCCCCAAGAUACAUACCUCCACACACAAUUUUUUUGCAUAGUAUAGUGCAAUAAUACUUUAGUCACUGGUAUAAUUUACUAAGACAUUAGACCUGUCAGAAAAGGGCAUAAAUAUUUCUGAGAUCCUUGUAAAAAAGGUACUCUGAAAAUAUGCUGAAAAUUUAGCCAAAUUAAUUGAAUUGUUCAUGGAACUACUAUCAACUAGUCAGAACCAUUCAAUGAGAAGAAAGUAAGAUUAACUACUUGGCAAUCAUAGGAUGAUCAAAUUCACGAGCUCUAGAUUAAAACUUAUCUGUGGAAACUUGCCAUGUGACUGCUCAAUAUGCAAAUACUUCUCCUAUUUGAUUUAAUCCCAAACUAGGUAGAAGGGAAGACAAAGGUAGACAAAUAGAUUCCCCAGUAGCUAGGGUUUGGGUAAGUGGGCUCAACCACUUAGUCAAUACCCUACUACAGGCUUUGAAUUUUGAGAGAUUGAAAAUUACGGAGUUGCUGGGACAAGUGCCCAGAGUGACAGAGUCCAAUAGGAUGGUGGCAGAAGUGCCAAUGCAACAAGUGUCACACGAAAAGCACCAGAAAACUGUUCUGUGGCAUAGCUCCAACAGUGCCUUUCCUCUGUCUCUAUAGUCUUCCUGACAAUUCUUUGGUCUCCUAAUAUACUUCCAAUAAAAUUAUUUUCAGUUCAAGUUAACCAUGGUCUGUUUGAUUGUAAAUAAGAAUCCUGAAUGGUAAACAUUUUAAUUUAAAGAAUGCAAAAUAAAAUCUUUAACCAGGACAUCUGGGUGGCUCAGUUGGUUAAGUGUCUGACUCUUGAUUUCGGCUCAGGUCAUGAUCUUACAUUUGUGGGAUCAAGCCCUAGGUCGGGGUCUGCACUGACACCAUGGAGUCCACUUGGGAUUCACUCUCUCCUUCUCUCUCUGCCCCUCCCCAGCUUGGGAUCGCACUCUAUCUCUCAAACUCAAUAAACA